GGAAUAUUCCACAAUGGGGGAAACCCUGACGGAGCAACGCCGCGUGAGUGAAGAAGGCCUUCGGGCCGUAAAGCUCUGUUGUCGGGGAAGAGUGCUAUGGGGGGACCUGUAGAGGGACGGUACCCGACGAGGAAGCCACGGCUAACUACGUGCCAGCAGCCGCGGUAAUACGUAGGUGGCAAGCGUUAUCCGGAUUUAUUGGGCGUAAAGCGAGCGCAGGCGGUUUCUUAAGUCUGAUGUGAAAGCCUUCGGCUUAACCGAAGAAGUGCAUCGGAAACUGGGAAACUUGAGUGCAGAAGAGGACAGUGGAACUCCAUGUGUAGCGGUGAAAUGCGUAGAUAUAUGGAAGAACACCAGUGGCGAAGGCGGCUGUCUGGUCUGUAACUGACGCUGAGGCUCGAAAGCAUGGGUAGCGAACA
rnacentral:rRNA from 1 species